rnacentral:snoRNA from 1 species
AAAGCAGGCCUGCAAUUGCAGCACUUGAUGGCUGUGAAGUGCUGUCAUUAACCCUGCUGAGAUUAUUACUACU